GCGCAGCAGGCGCGAACCUCCGCAAUGCGCGCAAGCGCGACGGGUCAGCCCGAGUGCCACCCGAGAGGGUGGCUGUGGCCCGCCGUAAAAGCGGGCUUAGAAAGCGGAGGGCAAGGCUGGUGCCAGCCGCCGCGGUAAACCAGCUCCGCGAGUGGUCGGGGCGAUUGCUGGGCCUAAAGGGUCCGUAGGCGGCCCCGCAAGUCCGCGGCUAAAUCCCCAGGUCUCAAGCCUGGGACUGCUGCGGAUACUGCGGGGCUAGGGACCGGGAGAGGCCCGGGGGUACCUCCGGGGUAGGGGCGAAAUCCAGAGAUCCCGGAGGGACCAACGGUGGCGAAGGCGCCCGGCUGGAACGGCUCCGACGCUGAGGGACGAAAGCCAGGGGAGCGAAGGGGAUUAGAUGCCCCUGU
rnacentral:rRNA from 1 species